CUGGACACAACUCAAGCUAGCGUUAGCCGGAUAGCUCCAUAGCUAGCAGGCUUUGUGGAUUCAUCCUGACGCUCUCGCCGCGGAAAACCAUCCAGAUAUCUCACGCGUCGGUCAGACUUCACGCAACAGUAGCGGCGGCGUGUCCACUCGGCUAACAUCCGGGUCACACCAGUUAACAUCCGGGUCACGCCGGAAGAGUUUUCUACAAUAUGAAAUGACUUGUUCGCUUUCAGGACCCUGAAGCAGCUAAAAAGAUGGUAGCCGACCCCUCUCACCCCGGACAAAACCUGUUUGUGCCCCUUCCGUCUGGCAGGAGGCUGAGGUCCAUCAAGACUAAGACCUCCCACCACACCAACAGUUUCUUCCCGUCGGCAGUCGGGCUCAUCAACAGAGCCGGUCCCCCACUGACUGACUAUAACACUCCACCAGUCACUCCC
ensembl:lncRNA